rnacentral:rRNA from 1 species
GACGAACGCUGGCGGCGGGCUUAACACAUGCAAGUCGAACGGAAAGGCCCUGCUUUUGUGGGGUGCUCGAGUGGCGAACGGGUGAGUAACACGUGAGUAACCUGCUCUAGACUUUGGGAUAACUUAAGGAAAGUGGGGCUAAUACCGGAUCGCAGACCCUGCUGCAUGGUGGGGGUUGGAACGUUUCGGCGGUCGGGGAUGGAUUAGCGGUUUAUGAGCUUGUUGGUGGGGUAGUGGCUGACCAAGGAUUUGAAGGGUAGCCGGCCUGGGAGGGUGACCGGCCACAGUCGGACAGAGAAACGGCCCAGACGGAUACGGGGGGCAGGAGUGGAAAAUAUUGCACAACGGGCGGAAGCGUGAUGCAGGAACGCCGCGUGCGAGAGGACGUCCGUCGGGUAGGAAACCGCUUUCGCCUGUGACGAGGCGUGAGGGACGGAAAUGGAGAAAGAAGCACCGGCUAACUACGG